rnacentral:rRNA from 1 species
CCCUUAGAUGUUCUGGGCCGCACGCGCGCUACACUGACUGCUCCAACAAGUGUUACCAUGGCUGACAAGUCUUGGAAAUCUUGCAAAGGCAGUCGUGCUGGGGAUAGAUUAUUGUAAUUUUUAAUCUUCAACGAGGAAUUCCUAGUAAACGCAAGUCAUCAGCUUGCAUUGAUUACGUCCCUGCCCUUUGUACACACCGCCCGUCGCAUCUACCGAUUGAAUGGAGAGGCAAAAUCUUCGGACCGUGACGUUUGGGGGUCAAACCCCGGACAGUCGUGGGAAGUGGAUUAAACCUUNCNAUUUAGNGGAAGGUAAANUCGUANCA